ACUAGGCAAAAUGGUGCCGUAACUUCGGGAGAAGGCACGCUGGUGUGUAGGUGAAGUCCCUGCGGAUGGAGCUGAGACCAGUCGAAGAUACCAGCUGGCUGCAACUGUUUAUUAAAAACACAGCACUGUGCAAACACGAAAGUGGACGUAUACGGUGUGACGCCUGCCCGGUGCCGGAAGGUUAAUUGAUGGGGUUAUCCGUAAGGAGAAGCUCUUGAUCGAAGCCCCGGUAAACGGCGGCCGUAACUAUAACGGUCCUAAGGUAGCGAAAUUCCUUGUCGGGUAAGUUCCGACCUGCACGAAUGGCGUAAUGAUGGCCAGGCUGUCUCCACCCGAGACUCAGUGAAAUUGAACUCGCUGUGAAGAUGCAGUGUACCCGCGGCAAGACGGAAAGACCCCGUGAACCUUUACUAUAGCUUGACACUGAACAUUGAGCCUUGAUGUGUAGGAUAGGUGGGAGGCUUUGAAGCGUGGACGCCAGUCUGCGUGGAGCCAACCUUGAAAUACCACCCUUUAAUGUUUGAUGUUCUAACGUUGGCCCCUGACCGGGGUUGCGGACAGUGUCUGGUGGGUAGUUUGACUGGGGCGGUCUCCUCCCAAAGCGUAACGGAGGAGCACGAAGGUUAGCUAAUCCUGGUCGGACAUCAGGAGGUUAGUGCAAUGGCAUAAGCUAGCUUGACUGCGAGCGUGACGGCGCGAGCAGGUGCGAAAGCAGGUCAUAGUGAUCCGGUGGUUCUGAAUGGAAGGGCCAUCGCUCAACGGAUAAAAGGUACUCCGGGGAUAACAGGCUGAUACCGCCCAAGAGUUCAUAUCGACGGCGGUGUUUGGCACCUCGAUGUCGGCUCAUCACAUCCUGGGGCUGAAGUAGGUCCCAAGGGUAUGGCUGUUCGCCAUUUAAAGUGGUACGCGAGCUGGGUUUAGAACGUCGUGAGACAGUUCGGUCCCUAUCUGCCGUGGGCGCUGGAGAAUUGAGGGGGGCUGCUCCUAGUACGAGAGGACCGGAGUGGACGCAUCACUGGUGUUCGGGUUGUCAUGCCAAUGGCACUGCCCGGUAGCUAAAUGCGGAAGAGAUAAGUGCUGAAAGCAUCUAAGCACGAAACUUGCCCCGAGAUGAGUUCUCCCUGAGACUUUAAGUCUCCUGAAGGAACGUUGAAGACGACGACGUUGAUAGGCCGGGUGUGUAAGCGCAGCGAUGCGUUGAGCUAACCGGUACUAAUGAACCGUGAGGCUUAACCUU
rnacentral:rRNA from 1 species